GACGUAGGAUGCAAGCGUUGUCCGGAUUUAUUGGGCGUAAAGAGUUCGUAGGUGGUUCGUUAAGUCUGAUGUUAAAUAUCGGGGCUCAACCUCGGGAGUGCAUUGGAUACUGGCGGACUUGAGUGUGGUAGAGGCAAUCGGAAUUCCAGGUGUAGCGGUGAAAUGCGUAGAUAUCUGGAAGAACACCGGUGGCGAAGGCGGCAUCCUGGACCAACACUGACACUGAGGAGCGAAAGCCAGGGGAGCAAACGGG
rnacentral:rRNA from 1 species